UACGUAGGGGGCUAGCGUUGUCCGGAUUUAUUGGGCGUAAAGAGCGUGUAGGCGGCCAGGUAGGUCUGGUGUGAAAACUCGAGGCUUAACCUCGAGAUGUCAUCGGAAACCAUCUGGCUAGAGUCCGGAAGAGGAGGGUGGAAUUCCUGGUGUAGCGGUGAAAUGCGCAGAUAUCAGGAAGAACACCAAUGGCGAAAGCAGCUCUCUGGGACGGUACUGACGCUGAGACGCGAAAGCGUGGGGAGCGAACAGG
rnacentral:rRNA from 1 species